AAUCAACGCUGGCGGCGUGCCUAAUACAUGCAAGUCGAACGCGAAAGUCCCGCAAGGGGGCAAGUAGAGUGGCAAACGGGUGAGUAACGCGUGGGCGACCUACCUUCGAGUGGGGGAUAACCUUCCGAAAGGAGGGCUAAUACCGCAUGACAUCCCGUGUUUGGAUACACGGACAUCAAAGUCGGGGAUCGCAAGACCUGACGCUUGGAGAGGGGGCCCGCGUCCGAUUAGCUAGUUGGUGGGGAACGGCCCACCAAGGCUUCGAUCGGUAUCCGGCCUGAGAGGGCGGACGGACACACUGGGACUGAGACACGGCCCAGACUCCUACGGGAGGGCAGCAGUAGGGAAUUGUUCGCAAUGGGCGCAAGCCUGACGACGCAACGCCGCGUGGAGGAUGAAGACCUC
rnacentral:rRNA from 1 species